AUCUUCUUCUUCUUCUUCUUCUUCUUCUUCUGUGCUUUCCUUUUGGCAAGCCACGGCAAGGCACCAGACCCAACCACCACCGGCCACCAUUUUUGACGCGCGGCAGCUCAUCGGUUUUGCCUUGCUCCGGCGACCUCAAGUGCCAAGUGGCACCGCCCAACUCGCCGUCAAUCGUCCGGAAUCGCCGGUCAAAGUUUUGGUCCGUCAACUUUGACUGUAUGUUUCGGCCAACUCCGAUCACCUCUGGACGAGUGGUUGAUACCCUGGAACGAGCGUGGAGAGAGGAACAAAACCCACUAAGUCAUUCCGGUCACCUCGCCGUUUUUCUCCGUCAAGAUUUUGGGUAUCUCCGCCUUUUGUAAGCGUUUUCCGGCGACAUCGGAGGUCAUUUGGGAAAAUGAGCUGUACUUUCGUGAUGUACUCAUCCAGAGGAUCGUUUUGAUAUAUGUCAUGCAUAUAUUCGUUAACGUUUCCGAUACCGCCACCAACCGCUAUUGUACACUGCUUGGGUGAGGAAAAAUGUGAUAUUAAAAUCGGACUAAAUCAUUCUAAGAUCAUCGAUAAGCUUAAGAGCGUUGCUUUGAGCUCGGAUUAAAUUCUAAAGAGGAAAUAAGCUUUAGAGGUGGAAAGAUUCGUGACGCUUAGAUGAUGUGUAUCGAUGGUGAAUGGAGUCAAGGGGCCGAGCGUUAUUCGAUUCGAGGAUGUAGUCUUGUUUAUGUUUUUAUGGUUUUAAAUGUAUUUUCCGCAUUUUCUAUGUAACUCUUUUUAGUUUUUAAGUUAUUUUUGUUUUAAAGACAAUGGGUACCCAUAUCCUACUUAUUUUAUGAAAGUAAACUUUGU